CAUGAGGCGCUAUCAUAAUCAUAGCCACUAUUCAUGCACUCGUUUGGGUAAAAUAUAGUUUUAAAAAAAACAAGGCAUCGUGGUAUAUCCUGUAUUCAAGAUCGUUUGAAAAAUAGUAUUUUGCAAAGUCAUAUGUUUGGAAAUUCCAAAAAUGUAUAUUUAGAUAAUUUGGAACCCAAAUCCGUGAAAUUGGUAUCCCAAAUUAAGUUAGUGUAAACACCCAUAAUCAUACACACAAUCACACAAUUAUCCAUGAGUGAUUUAUCGAUAGAUUAACAAACAUUUAUAUGUAUAGUGAUUUAAUGAUUAUUCGACACAAAUAUAAAUCUUUGCAGUGUUUCAACGGUAAUUCGAUACCGUAAACAAACGAAACCACAUUUUGCUAAAAGUCAAAAAGUGUUACCCGCUUGUAUGCGUCUUCAAUUGACUGAUUUACGGAUGUUAUACAAAUGAAGCGGUCACGAUUUUGCUGUUUCUAAAUCAAAUGAAAAGACAUGCCUAGGUUGGAAGAAUUGUCACCUUGUUACCCGCAAUAUAGUUCUCCGUCUGACAGACUCAAGACAUUUUGGGCAUGGCCGUAUAGAAAACCUAGCAACGACGAAUGUGUAAACGCUGGCUUUUUCUUCAAAGGUCCGGGCGACCUUGUGCGAUGCUUCUGUUGUGGAAUAGGACUCAAGGAUUUCACUGAAUCCGAUAAUCCUCUGCACGAGCACAUAAAACACUCAUCAACAUGCCCAUAUCUGAAGUUGCUAUAUGCAUCUCAAGAGCCUAAACUA